UUUUGGGACCGAAUCUAUCCCCUUAACAAAUAAAAAGUCCCAUGUGUCUCACCACACCAAGGGUUAAGGUGUAUUUGACAAGUGAUGCUUUUGAAUAAAAUGUCAUCGGUCUAGUUUAAUAAAAACACAUUGCUGUAGGGUUGCAUUGGAGCCAGGUCAUUAAGCAUUUCUCUCUCUGGUACCACUAGCGUGAUAGCUUGGGGGUGGGGCGGGCCUCAAUGCUGCAGAUAAUUAAACUAGAAGGAAGGAACCAUAUAUGCAAAACCACCAUUCUUUUCCUGCUUAGCUUCCUAUAUAUGUGGAUAACCUCAGUUUGAAGCCUGUCCCCCACUCCUCUCUCUCUCUCUCACACUCUCACUCUCCAACGCACACUCACAUACACAGAAAAAGAAUAGCAUUUGGAUUGGUCUGUUAGUUGGAGAUGAUCUGGAGGUACAUGAGCAGGGAAGAAAUCUUGCAAUCAAGUUCACAAAUGAUGCAAGGAAUUAGAGACCAAGCUCCUAAAAGUGACUCCACAAUCACAUCUUUAAAGGGCUCUAGUAGUGCAUCUACUUGUUUUUCUGCUUACAGGCAGGUUAGAAGAUCCGCGGCUUCUUUUAAUGCUGAUACUGCAGCUAAAGCUGCCAAAUCGAGUCAGGAUAAUAAGAUCAAACAGGCUGAGGAGUCCCUUCGCACUGUGAUGUACUUAAGCUGUUGGGGUCCCAAUUGAUGUCUAACCAAAAAGUAUUUUCUGAACUUGGAGCUUUUCUAGGCUGUAGCUACUUACUAUGACCAUGAAUGAAGCCUUAUGUAUGUACAGUAGUAAGGUGUUUUCAAAACAUCCGAGUCGAAUGAAUGAAAGAUAUAUCUAAGUUUCUUCUUCUU